rnacentral:rRNA from 1 species
CCUACGGGGGGCUGCAGUAAGGAAUAUUGGUCAAUGGACGCAAGUCUGAACCAGCCAUGCCGCGUGGAGGAUGAAGGUCCUCUGGAUUGUAAACUUCUUUUAUUUGGGAAGAAACUCCCGAUUUCCAUCGGGAUUGACGGUACCAGAUGAAUAAGCACCGGCUAACUCCGUGCCAGCAGCCGCGGUAAUACGGAGGGUGCAGGCGUUAUCGGGAUUCAAGGGGUUGAAGGUGGGCGUAGGUGGGCAUGGUGAAAUCCCCGGGCUUAACCCGGGAACUGCCAUUGAUACUGUUUGUCUUGAAUACUCUGGAGGUGAGCGGAAUAUGUCAUGUAGCGGUGAAAUGCUUAGAUAUGACAUAGAACACCCAUUGCGAAGGCAGCUCACUACGGAAAUAUUGACGCUGAGGCACGAAAGCGUGGGGAUCAAACAGGAUUAGAUACCCGAGUAGUC